CUCGGCUCCAGCGACUCCUUUCACUUUGACAGCGGCAGUUUGGAUAAUUGUGUCGGCGUCUGGGGUCUUUAUCUGUGAGUGGAGAAACUCACUGAUCAACAGUACAGGAUUUGCAGUCUGGAGAUGUUGCUCAGAGGGACGAAGAAACGCAUGAAGAAACGCACCACAAAGAAGCUCUGAACGUGAAAUCCUUGAAGAGAUUUUCUCUUAUCUUUGUUUGCACUUGAAAGUUUUUCAAGAAGCAGCACUCUUUUCCAGUGGUCACUGAAAUAUUUCUUUGAGAGUAAUGAGUGAUGGCUCUUCAGGAGAUCAGUGUGAUCUUUACACACAGACCCUCGGCCUUCUCUGCUGCUGUGCUGCUUCUAACACUCGUCCUCUGCAGAGAAUCAAAGCCUGAGAAGACAGAAACAAUUCAGCAACCUGGAAAUGUUCAGACGCCGGAUCAGAGUGAAGAUACCAAAGAAGCAGG